GGGCCGAGGGCCCUGGGCUCGUUCCGUCUGGAGAAGAGCGGGCUGAGGGGCUUCACUAGCAGCCCUCGACUCCCUGCAGUGCAGGGGGUGACGAAGGGGCUGGAGCUGUCCUGUCACCUGCCACCACUGAGAGCAGUCCAAGGAGCAACCGGCGCAACUUGCAGCAGGGGAAGUUCAGAUAUCUUAGACUGAAGAACCACAUGCACUUUCCCACCUGAGCAACUUGCUGUGUGCAUCUAUAGUCCUCAGGCUUUUUUUCUUCCUUUUAAAUCAUGGUAUAAGUGUAGGCAGGGGCUGAAACAUGGAUGCUGGUGAAGGGGCCAGCUGGGGAAGGGGGAUGCAGAGCCUGUCAGCUCAUCUCAACUCUUUCAUGUUGAAACUGCAUGCCAGGGAAGGGAGCUUUGUAUGACACUCCAGCUUCCUCCAUCUGCCACUCAGAGCUUUUCAAGUGAAAAUGUAGGAGCCUGGCAGCCUGAAAUGCUUUAAGUGCCGGGCAGAGAAAGCUUGAACAUCACUUAAAACUCUCUCUGCCAGGAGCUUUGCAGAGCAGCUAUGACAGUUUCCAUGACUGCCCCUUCCCCCAGCUCCAUUCCCAUGAGCCUCAGGCAGCCUUCAUCUCUUGUAAUAAAGCUUAUUCCAGGAGCGGGCCCUUCCUUAUAGCUCAGCCAGCGAAACCCUGGAUUGCUUAACUGGCUGAGCUGAGACAGACCUUCGGACAACACUUUCACUGACAACUUCCUUGUGGGUGACUUAACCUGCAGAAAAGCAAACUGUACACUGCAGUCCCUAUCAAAACUAAUGCUGGGUGAGACAGAGGUAUAGAUGAGAUGGGCUAAAGCUCAAAGUAGAUAAUACUAGAGCGAUGGCAACAGGCUAAGGGAAGCAACCAUAACAUGUAAUAGUAAUACCUGCUCCCACCACUUGUCAGUUGAGUUAGCAAAUCAGCAGGGGCUGACUGAAUCCCCAGCUGCUAGAUAGGCAGCCACAGAAGCAGAACUUUCUAGGAAGGUCUUGCCCCUCCCACAACAUGCCAAGACUUGAUCGUUUCUGGUACCAAGCUUCUAGUCUGAUCUUUGCAUUCUCUGUCUCAGAUUAGAUGGCUGCAAUGUGCUCCAGGUGAACUAUUUGGGAACUGCAGCUACCUCAAAAAACAGGUUCUGUCUUACUAAGUGUUCUCUCUCUCUCUCCCUCCCCAGUAACACAAUGCAUUAGUGGCUCUGAUCUGCACUGGAUGCCUGACUUGUAUACCCGAGCCAUAUGUUUCUCCCCAUAUGACUGCUGCAACUGUGGUCAACAGAAGUGAUCGAGUUGUAGAGCUCCCUAGAUACAAAAGGAAGUUGUUUCUGGUGUGGUCUCCAUAAACCACCUUCCAGAUUGCAAUUUACUACUCCCAGCAGGGAUGGCCAACCAAUGGCACAAGUGCCAUGGGCAGAGGAGACUGGCAGCACAGCAAGAGAUGGGGCAGGAAACAGAGCAGACAAGACACACAAGCAGGAAGCAAAAAGUGGGAGAAAAUUGGACAAGGAACAGAAAACAGACUGAGCAGAGGAAGAAGGAUCAGUGUGGCACUCAGGGAGGGUAAAGAUUAAUUUGUGGGACACCUGCCAAAAAAGUUGUCCCCCAUUAUCUUAAAUUAUAAGAGUUGCUGCUCAUCCAUAAGACACCUAAUUAAGAAGUACCAAAACACUAUUUGUCGCAUUUAAUUAUAUUCCUGCUAAAGUGACCCGCAAUAAUGCAGUUAGCAACACUCAUUUUAUAUCAUCAUCUUUUGAUUUCAGAGUUAACAAAAACUAUGGAGUUGAAUGGCAAGGCUCACCCCUCCGAGAAAUUGUUUUAGGAUGCCUGCAGACUCAGGAAGAGAAUAUAGUAUCAGUUUACAUUUAGUUCACAUUUUUCUACUUUUUCUUCACAACCAAAAGCUACACUUUAUUUUAGAAGCAAGAAACUCACAUUCUGGAUGAUCUCUGGAAUAACUAUUUGACCACAACCAAUCCAAAACAGAAAUUAUUAUGUUUGAUAGAGCUAAUAAAAAUUAAUCCCAUUAAGACACUCGUAUCCCAAUCCUACCAUCAGAUUUCCAUUACUGUAACUCAGUGCCUGUGUAGAUCCAAUUCUAGGAUCAAGAUCAGUAGCCUUCUCUACAUCAGAUUUUUUUUAAGUCUGAUUUAUAGGAGUUACUUUUCAAAUAUUAAAAAUAUGGAAUUUAUUAAAACCAAACUUAUGAGCACUCCCCAAAAAUAACUCUUAGAGCCAAUUUUAAACGGAAUUUUACUCACUGUUGUAAAUUCUCAAAUGUCUUCUAAGAUUAAGUGCUGUAAAUUGACUGUUAUUCCAACAUAAGAAAAAAUGAACUCCCCACUAUUUAAUGCAACACAACCAUAGCUGAGGAGCCAGCAGGACACCUCUGCAAUAAAAAUCUUGCCCCUUUGUUACUCUCCAAUCCCUCCUCCUUUGCU